GAUGAACGCUAGCGAUAGGCUUAACACAUGCAAGUCGAGGGGCAGCAUGGUCUUAGCUUGCUAAGGCUGAUGGCGACCGGCGCACGGGUGCGUAACGCGUAUGCAACUUGCCUCACAGAGGGGGAUAACCCGUCGAAAGACGGACUAAUACCGCGUACACUCUAUGUUGGGCAUCCAAUGUAGAGGAAAUGAAAUUCGCUGUGAGAUAGGCAUGCGUCCCAUUAGCUAGUUGGUGAGGUAACGGCUCACCAAGGCGACGAUGGGUAGGGGAACUGAGAGGUUGAACCCCCACACUGGGAACGGGAAACGGAACAGACUCCUACCGGAAGGAGGAGUGAGGAAUAUUGGUCAAUGGGCGAGAGCCCGAACCAGCCAAAUCGCGUGAAGGAUGACUGUCUUAUGGAAUGUAAACUUCUUUUAUACGGGAAUAACAAGAGUCACGUGUGGCUCCCUGCAUGUACCGGAUGAAUAAGCAUCGGCUAACUCCGUG
rnacentral:rRNA from 1 species